CAGUUAAAAAGCUCGUAGUUGAAUUUCUGGAAAGUUCAUGCUGGCUGGUGUUGACCGGCCAUGUAUGUUCUUUCCAUUCUCACGGGGAAGGCCCAUCGUUAGUAAUAGCGUGGUGUCCGGAACCGUGUCAUUUACUGUGAAAAAAUUAGAGUGUUUAAAGCAGGCGUUUACGCUUGAAUACAUUAGCAUGGAAUAAUAAGAUAGGACUUCGGUCUAUUUUGUUGGUUGCGGCUCGAGGUAAUGAUUAAUAGGGAUAGUUGGGGGUAUUCAUAUUUAAUUGUCAGAGGUGAAAUUCUUGGAUUUAUUAAAGAUGAACGACUGCGAAAGCAUUUACCAAGGAUGUUUUCAUUAAUCAAGAACGAAAGUCAGGGGAUCGAAGAGGAUUAGAUACCCUCGUAGUCUUGACCAUAAACUAUGCCGACUCAGGAUUGGCAGACGUUGUUUCCGACUCUGCCAGCACUGUAUGAAAAAUCAAAGUCUUUGGGUUCCGGGGGGAGUAUGGUCGCAAGGCUGAAACUUAAAGGAAUUGACGGAAGGGCACCACCAGGAGUGGAGCCUGCGGCUUAAUUUGACUCAACACGGGGAAACUUACCAGGUCCAGACAUAGUAAGGAUUGACAGAUUGAGA
rnacentral:rRNA from 1 species